GACGAACGCUGGCGGCGUGCUUAACACAUGCAAGUCGAACGGAAAGGCACUGCUUUUGUGGGGUGCUCGAGUGGCGAACGGGUGAGUAGCACGUGAGUAACCUGCCCUUGACUUUGGGAUAACUUCAGGAAACUGGGGCUAAUACAGGAUAGGAGCUCCUGCUGCAUGGUGGGGGUUGGAAAGUUUCGGCGGUUGGGGAUGGACUCGCGGCUUAUCAGCUUGUUGGUGGGGUAGUGGCUUACCAAGGCUUGGACGGGUAGCCGGCCUGAGAGGGUGACCGGCCACAUUGGGACUGCGAUACGGCCCAGACUCCUACGGGAGGCAGCAGGGGGGAAUAUUGCACAAUGGUCGGAAGCCUGAUGCAGCAACGCCGCGUGCGGGAUGACGGCCUUCGGGUUGUAAACCGCUUUCGCCUGUGACGAAGCGUGAGUGACGGUAAUGGGUAAAGAAGCACCGGCUAACUACGUG
rnacentral:rRNA from 1 species